AUUGGAAGUAGUGUCGGCCUGUUCAGCCGACAUGUAGUCGGUAGUCGCUUUUAGGAUCGUCCGUUUAUUUGGUGGGUCAGAGUCGGAUGUCGGUCGGACUGUUUCGGAGAUUGAUCGAUAAAUGGGGGCCAGUCGAUUUUUUCCAACAGUUGCCCCCUACUUCUGAGUCCAAAUGACGAGUCAUCACGUGCGUAGCUACGUGAUCGAUCACUUUGGAGGAAAGGAGG
rnacentral:lncRNA from 1 species